GAUGAACGCUGGCGGCGUGCCUAAUACAUGCAAGUCGAGCGAACGGACGAGAAGCUUGCUUCUCUGAUGUUAGCGGCGGACGGGUGAGUAACACGUGGAUAACCUACCUAUAAGACUGGGAUAACUUCGGGAAACCGGAGCUAAUACCGGAUGAUAUUUUGAACCGCAUGGUUCAAAAGUGAAAGACGGUCUUGCUGUCACUUAUAGAUGGAUCCGCGCUGCAUUAGCUAGUUGGUAAGGUAACGGCUUACCAAGGCAACGAUGCAUAGCCGACCUGAGAGGGGGAUUCGCCACACUGGAACUGAGACACGGGCCAGACUCCUACGGGAGGCAGCAGUAGGGAAUCUUCCGCAAUGGGCGAAAGCCUGACGGAGCAACGCCGCGUGAGUGAUGAAGGUCUUCGGAUCGUAAAACUCUGUUAUUAGGGAAGAACAUAUGUGUAAGUAACUGUGCACAUCUUGACGGUACCUAAUCAGAAAGCCACGGCUAACUACGUG
rnacentral:rRNA from 1 species